GACGAACGCUGGCGGCGUGCCUAAUACAUGCAAGUCGAGCGAAGUUUUUCUGGUGCUUGCACUAGAAACACUUAGCGGCGAACGGGUGAGUAACACGUAAAGAACCUGCCUUAUAGACUGGGACAACUAUUGGAAACGAUAGCUAAUACCGGAUAACAGUAUUUCUCGCAUGAGAGAUAUUUAAAAGUUGGUUAUGCUAACACUAUGAGAUGGCUUUGCGGUGCAUUAGCUAGUUGGUGGGGUAAAGGCCCACCAAGGCGACGAUGCAUAGCCGACCUGAGAGGGUGAUCGGCCACACUGGGACUGAGACACGGCCCAGACUCCUACGGGAGGCAGCAGUAGGGAAUCUUCCGCAAUGGGCGAAAGCCUGACGGAGCAACGCCGCGUGAGUGAAGAAGGAUUUCGGUUCGUAAAGCUCUGUUGUUAGGGAAGAAUGGAUAUGUAGUAACUAUACAUGUAAGAGACGGUACCUAACCAGAAAGCCACGGCUAACUACGUG
rnacentral:rRNA from 1 species